CGUCUAUAUACGUAUAGCAUAUCAAUAAGCGGAGGAAAAGAAACUAACAAGGAUUCCCUUAGUAACGGCGAGUGAAGCGGGAAGAGCUCAAAUUUGAAAUCUUCAAGGUUCUACCUUGACGAAUUGUAGUUUAAAGAAGUGUUUUCUGUUAGAGGAGUAGGCAAAAGUUCCUUGGAAUGGGACAUCAUAGAGGGUGAGAAUCCCGUAUUUGGUUAUUCUUUCUAGCUUUGUGAUACACUUUCAAAGAGUCGGAUUGUUUGGGAAUGCAGUCCAAAAUGGGUGGUAAAUUUCAUCUAAAGCUAAAUAUUGGCGAGAGACCGAUAGCGAACAAGUACCGUGAGGGAAAGAUGAAAAGAACUUUGAAAAGAGAGUUAAACAGUACGUGAAAUUGUCAAAAGGGAAGCGUUUGACACCAGUGUUGUUUUUCCGAAAAUCAAUUAAGAGUGGCUUGAUUUUGUGUUGUAUUGACCUUAUCAGCUUUCUUCACUCUUUUUCGAGUCUUUCUUAAUGCACUUUUCGGUUAACAAGUCAACAUCAAUUUCUUUUGUUGUAAAAGGGUAUUUGGAAGGUGGCUUUCUUUUCGGAGAAAGUGUUUAUAGCCUUAUACCUCUACAAUCGGAGAGAUUGAGGUCUGCAGCGUAGAUCCUUCGGGGCUAGAUACACUUGUGCUAAGUUAUAGCUUUUCAUAGACAACUUGUUGACUAUGUUUAGUCAUGUAGCUUACCCGCUUGUGCUAUUUUACCUACGCUUAGGAUGUUGAGUCAUCACACAUCUCU
rnacentral:rRNA from 1 species